AGCACUUCUGUGUGUGAUUAAUUUGUAACAAAGCCUUACAGACAGGUGCAAACAGUAAAUCUUCCUCUGCAACCCAGAGCUCAUUGUUGAGUAUGAAUUUUGGUACAUGUAAAAAGGACUAUG
ensembl:snoRNA